rnacentral:ncRNA from 2 species
CUGUAGCAUCGCGUUUCCGGUCUCUUUACAAGAGCGAAAAGGGAAUCCAGUGAAAAUCUGGGGCUGACGCGCAGCGGUAAAGGUAGGUGGAUGAACGCUAUUGCAGACACUGUUUAACUGAACGGGAAGUCCUCAUCCGUAAUCACCCCUGAGCCCGAAGACCUGCCGGAGACACGUCGCACCU